rnacentral:ncRNA from 1 species
CAGAAUGAGCGAGUAAGGAACAAAUAAAGAAGAGCAGGAUGAUUCGAAUUUAUUACAGCACCUGGCUCAUAGCGACGUUGCUUUUUGAUCCUUCAAUAUCGGCUCUUCUUAUCAUACUGAGGCAGAAUUCAGUAAGCGUCGGAUUGUUCACCCACUAAUAGGGAACAAGGCUUGGGGUUUAGACCGUUGUGAGACAGGUUAGUUUUACCCUACUGAUGAAAUGUUGUUGCAGUAGUAAUUGAGCUUAGGAGAGGAACCGUUCAUUCGGAUAAUUGGUAUUUGGGCCUGCCUGAGCAGGCAAUGGACCAAAGCUAUCAUCCAUUGGGUUAUGGCUGAACGCCUCUUAGUCAGAACCCGUGCUAGAUCGCGACGACUACCGCCUUUUCCGAUUUUUAGUUGAAUACGAAUAGAUCUUCGGAUCCUGAAUCAUACUAGGGGUCGAUCUUGCAGAAUGGAAAGACUUUGUGAGGUUCCUCUUUAUGUUGGUUUCAAAUAUUGGAAGAGAUAAAUCCAUUGCAGACGACUUUAAUUGAACGAGAGUAUUGUAAGCAAUUGAACAGCCUUGUUGUUACGAUCUGCUGAGAUUAAGCCCAUUGUUCUAUAGAUUU